GUCAGCUCGUGUCGUGAGAUGUUUGGUCAAGUCCUAUAACGAGCGAAACCCUCGUUUUGUGUUGCUGAGACAUGCGCCUAAGGAGAAAUUUCCACCGAGUGACGUGCCAGCGCUACUACUUGAUUGAGUGCCAGCACGUAGCUGUGCUUUCAGCAAGAAUUUCACCAUUGGGAGCCGGUGCCUUUCGAAGUACUUUCACAUGUGAACGGAAGUCGUCUUGCCCAAGACCCACGGAGACCUACCUAUAGUGGGGCGAUGGACCUCUAGCUAAGGUGAAAUAGUAUAUGAGGAGAAACCUUGUGCAUCACGAGAUACUAGGAACAUCUAGUAUCAAGAAGAAGCGGUCAAC
rnacentral:rRNA from 1 species